rnacentral:rRNA from 1 species
CGAGGCCAUUGCUAUCGGAGUCCGAUUUAGCCAUGCUAGUCGCACGGGCUUAGACCCGUGGCAUAUAGCUCAGUAACACGUGGCCAAACUACCCUACAGACCGCGAUAACCUCGGGAAACUGAGGCCAAUAGCGGAUAUAACUCUCAGGCUGGAGUGCCGAGAGUUAGAAACGUUCCGGCGCUGUAGGAUGUGGCUGCGGCCGAUUAGGUAGAUGGUGGGGUAACGGCCCACCAUGCCGAUAAUCGGUACGGGUUGUGAGAGCAAGAACCCGGAGACGGUAUCUGAGACAAGAUACCGGGCCCUACGGGCGCAGCAGGCGCGAAACCUUUACACUGGACGACAGUGCGAUAGGGGGACUCCGAGUGCGAGGGCAUAUAGCCCUCGCUUUUCUGUACCGUAAGGUGGUACAGGAACAAGGACUGGGCAAGACCGGUGCCAGCCGCCGCGGUAAUACCGGCAGUCCAAGUGAUGGCCGAUAUUAUUGGGCCUAAAGCGUCCGUAGCCGGCCGGACAAGUCCGUUGGGAAAUCGACGCGCUCAACGCGUCGGCGUCCAGCGGAAACUGUCCGGCUUGGGGCCGGAAGACCUGGGGGGUACGUCCGGGGUAGGAGUGAAAUCCUGUAAUCCUGGACGGACCACCAAUGGGGAAACCACCUCAGGAAGACGGACCCGACGGUGAGGGACGAAAGCUAGGGUCUCGAACCGGAUUAGAUACCCGGGUAGUCCUAGCUGUAAACGAUGCUCGCUAGGUGUGCCGUAGGCUACGAGCCUGCGCUGCGCCCUAGGGAAGCCGAGAAGCGAGCCGCCUGGGAAGUACGUCUGCAAGGAUGAAACUUAAAGGAAUUGGCGGGGGAGCACCACAACCGGAGGAGCCUGCGGUUUAAUUGGACUCAACGCCGGAAAUCUCACCGGUCCCGACAGUAGUAAUGACGGUCAGGUUGACGACUUUACCCGACGCUACUGAGAGGAGGUGCAUGGCCGCCGUCAGCUCGUACCGUGAGGGG